rnacentral:tRNA from 1 species
GAGGGUAUAGCUCAGUGGUAGAGUGCAUGCUUAGCAUGCAUGAAGUCCUGGGUUCAAUUCCCAGUACCUCUG